rnacentral:rRNA from 1 species
GGCUUGUAGUCAUAUGCUUGUCUCAAAGAUUAAGCCAUGCAUGUCUAAGUAUAAGCAAUUUUACGGUGAAACUGCGAAUGGCUCAUUAAAUCAGUUAUAGUUUAUUUGAUGGUACUUUACUACAUGGAUAACUGUGGUAAUUCUAGAGCUAAUACAUGCGUAAAAGCCCCAACUUUUUGGAAGGGGUGUAUUUAUUAGGUAAAAACCAACCGCUUCGGCGUCCUUUGGUGAAUCAUAAUAACUUUUCUAAUCGCAUGGCCUUGUGCCGGCGAUGCUUCAUUCAAAUAUCUGCCCUAUCAACUUUGAUGGUAGGAUAGAGGCCUACCAUGGUUGCAACGGGUAACGGGGUAUAAGGGUUCGAUUCCGGAGAGGGAGCCUGAGAAACGGCUACCACAUCCNAGGAAGGCAGCAGGCGCGCAAAUUACCCAAUCCCGACACGGGGAGGUAGUGACAAUAAAUAACAAUAUAGGGCCUUACAGGNCUUAUAAUUGGAAUGAGUACNAUUUAAAUCCCUUANCGAGGAACAAUUGGAGGGCAAGUC